rnacentral:rRNA from 1 species
UACAGAGGGUGCAAGCGUUGUUCGGAAUUAUUGGGCGUAAAGCGCGUGUAGGCGGCCUUGCAAGUUGGGUGUGAAAGCCCUCGGCUUAACCGAGGAAGUGCGCCCAAAACUACAGGGCUUGAGUACCGGAGAGGAUGGUGGAAUUCCCGGUGUAGAGGUGAAAUUCGUAGAUAUCGGGAGGAACACCAGCGGCGAAGGCGACCAUCUGGACGGAUACUGACGCUGAGACGCGAAAGCGUGGGGAGCAAACAGG